rnacentral:rRNA from 1 species
UGGGAAUUUUGGACAAUGGGCGCAAGCCUGAUCCAGCCAUGCCGCGUGCGGGAAGAAGGCCUUCGGGUUGUAAACCGCUUUGUCAGGGAAGAAAUCUUCUGAGUUAAUACCUCGGGAGGAUGACGGUACCUGAAGAAUAAGCACCGGCUAACUACGUGCCAGCAGCCGCGGUAAUACGUAGGGUGCAAGCGUUAAUCGGAAUUACUGGGCGUAAAGCGUGCGCAGGCGGUUUUGUAAGACAGAGGUGAAAUCCCCGGGCUCAACCUGGGAACUGCCUUUGUGACUGCAAGGCUUGAGUGCGGCAGAGGGGGAUGGAAUUCCGCGUGUAGCAGUGAAAAUUGCGUAGAUAUGCGGAGGAACACCGAUGGCGAAGGCAAUCCCCUGGGCCUGCACUGACGCUCAUGCACGAAAGCGUGGGGAGCAAACAGGAUUAGAUACCCUGGUAGUCACGCCCUAAACGAUGUCAA